rnacentral:rRNA from 1 species
UACGGCGGGAGCUAGCGUUGUUCGGAAUUACUGGGCGUAAAGCGCGCGUAGGCGGCUUUGUAAGUUAGAGGUGAAAGCCCGGAGCUCAACUCCGGAACUGCCUUUAAAACUGCAUCGCUUGAAUCCAGGAGAGGUGAGUGGAAUUCCGAGUGUAGAGGUGAAAUUCGUAGAUAUUCGGAAGAACACCAGUGGCGAAGGCGGCUCACUGGACUGGUAUUGAUGCUGAGGUGCGAAAGCGUGGGGAGCAAACAGG